rnacentral:rRNA from 1 species
UACGGGGGGGGCAAGCGUUGUUCGGAAUUACUGGGCGUAAAGGGCUCGUAGGCGGCCAACUAAGUCAGACGUGAAAUCCCCAGGCUCAACCUGGGAACUGCGUCUGAUACUGGAUGGCUUGAGUUCGGGAGAGGGAUGCGGAAUUCCAGGUGUAGCGGUGAAAUGCGUAGAUAUCUGGAGGAACACCGGUGGCGAAGGCGGCAUCCUGGACCGAUACUGACGCUGAUGAGCGAAAGCCAGGGGAGCAAACGGG